UACGAGAGGCCCAAACGUUAUUCGGAUUUACUGGGCUUAAAGAGUUCGUAGGCGGCGCGGAAAGUAGGGUGUGAAAGCCCUCGGCUCAACCGAGGAAUUGCGCUCUAAACUACCGUGCUUGAGGAAGCUAGAGGUGAGCGGAACUGAUGGUGGAGCGGUGAAAUGCGUUGAUAUCAUCAGGAACACCGGAGGCGAAGGCGGCGUCCUGGACCAACACUGACACUGAUGAGCGAAAGCCAGGGGAGCAAACGGG
rnacentral:rRNA from 1 species